rnacentral:rRNA from 1 species
UACGUAGGUGACAAGCGUUGUCCGGGUUUACUGGGUGUAAAGGGCGCGUAGGCGGGAUAGCAAGUCAGUCGUGAAAUGCCGAGGCUUAACCUCGGAGCUGCGAUUGAAACUGUUAUUCUUGAGUAUCGGAGAGGAAAGCGGAAGUCCUAGUGUAGCGGUGAAAUGCGUAGAUAUUAGGAGGAACACCAGUGGCGAAGGCGGCUUUCUGGACGACAACUGACGCUGAGGCGCGAAAGUGUGGGGAGCAAACAGG